UACGUAGGGGGCAAGCGUUGUCCGGAAUCAUUGGGCGUAAAGAGCGUGUAGGCGGCCAGAUAAGUCCGCUGUGAAAUCUCGAGGCUCAACUUCGAGCUGUCGGUGGAAACUGUCUGGCUAGAGUCCGGAAGAGGAGAAUGGAAUUCCUGGUGUAGCGGUGAAAUGCGCAGAUAUCAGGAAGAACACCCGUGGCGAAAGCGACUUCCUGGACCAAUACUGACGCUCAUGUGCGAAAGCGUGGGGAGCAAACAGG
rnacentral:rRNA from 1 species